GACGAACGCUGGCGGCGUGCCUAAUACAUGCAAGUUGAGCGCUGAAGGUUGGUACUUGUCCCGACUGGCUGAGCAGCGAACGGGUGAGUAACGCGUGGGGAAUCUGCCUUUGAGCGGGGGACAACAUUUGGAAACGAAUGCUAAUACCGCAUAAAAACUUUAAACACAAGUUUUAAGUUUGAAAGAUGCAAUUGCAUCACUCAAAGAUGAUCCCGCGUUGUAUUAGCUAGUUGGUGAGGUAAAGGCUCACCAAGGCGAUGAUACAUAGCCGACCUGAGAGGGUGAUCGGCCACAUUGGGACUGAGACACGGCCCAAACUCCUACGGGAGGCAGCAGUAGGGAAUCUUCGGCAAUAGACGAAAGUCUGACCGAGCAACGCCGCGUGAGUGAAGAAGGUUUUCGGAUCGUAAAACUCUGUUGGUAGAGAAGAACGUUGGUGAGAGUGGAAAGCUCAUCAAGUGACGGUAACUACCCAGAAAGGGACGGCUAACUACGUG
rnacentral:rRNA from 1 species